rnacentral:rRNA from 1 species
UACGUAGGGGGCAAGCGUUAUCCGGAUUUACUGGGUGUAAAGGGAGCGCAGGCGGCGCGGCAAGUCUGAUGUGAAAGCCCGGGGCUCAACCCCGGGACUGCAUUGGAAACUGUCGCGCUCGAGUGUCGGAGAGGUAAGUGGAAUUCCUAGUGUAGCGGUGAAAUGCGUAGAUAUCACGCAGAACGCCGAUUGCGAAGGCAGCAUACCGGCGCCCAACUGACGCUGAGGCACGAAAGCGUGGGGAUCGAACAGG